rnacentral:rRNA from 1 species
UACGUAGGGUGCGAGCGUUGUCCGGAAUUAUUGGGCGUAAAGAGCUCGUAGGCGGUUUGUCGCGUCUGCCGUGAAAGUCCGGGGCUCAACUCCGGAUCUGCGGUGGGUACGGGCAGACUAGAGUGAUGUAGGGGAGACUGGAAUUCCUGGUGUAGCGGUGAAAUGCGCAGGAUAUCAGGAGGAACACCGGUGGCGAAGGCGGGUCUCUGGGCCGAUACUGACGCUGAGGAGCGAAAGCGUGGGGAGCGAACAGG